UUGACAUGUUCAGUUCCCGACACUCAUGGAAGAAGUGUGUGUUCAAGCUUAUAUAAGAGCCACAACCCUGCCAACACACAUUUUCUUCGAUCUACAAUGACUGCAGAGUUUCUUCCCUUUAGCAGUGUUAAAAGGUAUGCUACAACGAAAGUGAAAGCUCCACCUCAGCUGCAGAAAACAGUGCUUGUAUGUGUCAUUUGAGUCUUUGAGAAGUCUCUAUUCCACACAGGAGCUUGAUGGCGUCUCUGUGGCCGUAAUAAAUUUCCUUCAAAGGAUAUAAUCCAACCUGUCCUCUGAUUUUUAUUUUGCUGAGUUAGUAUCCCUGUAUAAUUUGUAUCUUCUAGUUUAUGUUGCAACUAAAGGGUGAAUAUUGUCUGAUUAGGUUCUAGAUAAUUUUGUAAACAAUUUAUAAAGACUUAUAAAAAUUGUAAAGUCUAUAAGCAAUUUAUAAAUGUU